rnacentral:rRNA from 1 species
GACGAACGCUGGCGGCGUGCUUUACACAUGCAAGUCGAACGGUAACAGGUUAAGCUGACGAGUGGCGAACGGGUGAGUAAUGCAUCGGAACGUGCCCGAUCGUGGGGGAUAACGCAGAGAAAGCUGCGCUAAUACCGCAUACGAUCUGAGGAUGAAAGCGGGGGACCGUAAGGCCUCGCGCGAUCGGAGCGGCCGAUGUCAGAUUAGGUAGUUGGUGGGGAAAAGGCCCGCCAAGCCAACGAUCUGUAGCUGGUCUGAGAGGACGACCAGCCACACUGGGACUGAGACACGGCCCAGACUCCUACGGGAGGCAGCAGUGGGGAAUUUUGGACAAUGGGCGAAAGCCUGAUCCAGCAAUGCCGCGUGCAGGAAGAAGGCCUUCGGGUUGUAAACUGCUUUUGUACGGAGCGAAAAGGUCCCCUCUAAUACAGGGGGCUCAUGACGGUACCGUAAGAAUAAGCACCGGCUAACUACGUGCCAGCCGCCGCGGUAA